rnacentral:tRNA from 3 species
GCAGGUAUGGCGGAAUAGGCAGACGCGCUAGCUUCAGGUGCUAGUGGGGGCAACCUCGUGGAAGUUCAAGUCUUCUUACCUGCA